GACGAACGCUGGCGGCGUGCUUAAUACAUGCAAGUCGAACGCAUUUUCUUUCACCGUAGCUUGUUCCCCCGACAGAAAAUGAGUGGCGACCGGGUGAGUACCACGUCGGUAACCUGCCCAUCCGCGGGGGAACACACUUGGAUACCGGUGCUAAUCCCGCAUAAUUUCAUUUACCGCAUGGAAGAUAGAUGAAUGGCGCUUUAGCGUCACUGUUGGAUGGACCUGCGGUGCAUUGGCCAGGUGGUGGGGUAACCGACUACCAGGGCUGCGAUGCAGAGCCGACCGGAUAGGGUGGGCGGCCACACUGAGACGGAGACACGGCCCAGACGCCUACAGGAGGCAGCAGGAGGGAAACGGCGGGAAGGGACGCAAGACAGACCGAGCAACGCCGCGGGAGUGAAGAAGGUUGUCGGAUCGUAAAACACGGUUGUUAGAGAAGAACAAGGAUGAGAGUGGAAAGAUCAGCGCGUGACGGUAACUAACCAAGAAGCCACGGCUAACUACGUG
rnacentral:rRNA from 1 species